GGACCACCUCAUCUACACGGUCUACAGCCACACGGUCUACAGCAGCAGGGUCUACAGCAGAAGGGUCUACAGCCACCCGGUCUACAGCAGCAGGGUCUACAGCAGCAGGGUCUACAGCCACACGGUCUAGCAGAGGGUGUGUCUUGGUUUACGGCGUGGGUUCUCAUCCGAUGCGCUCCGCGACGAUCUUGCAGCAGAAGACCUGAUGGAGAAAGGAUUAUGGAACAUUUGCGUGAUCGUUGCUAAUCUCAGGUUUUUCCAAACAGAUCUUAGAGGCACACCUUUCACUUUGUUGGGCAGAUAGUGGUAUGUUUUAUUGUAGGUACAUGCACACUUUGUAUGUGUGCAUGUGUACGCCUAUGUCGUUCCGUUUGUUUACCAGCUGUUGAUGAUACAAUAUGAAUAUAGGAGGAUAUGAUCAAACUAACUAUUAGAAUAACGAUUAUUUCCAACAUGUCAACAUGAGACUCACUUGCCCCUGCCUCAACCCGUCCGUCAUCCUCCAUUUCAGAAUUGUAUUCGUAGCAAUGUGUGCGAAACCAGUGCAUCAAAAAAAUGGCUGACUUGAGCAAAACACAAAAGACGCUAAAGCCUAAAUGCAGGUUUGCAGGAAGAGCCCUUUGUUUCAUAACGCCACUUCAUCAGGUACAUGUAUUCACUAUAAAACAAUCAAUCAUCUAACGAUGAGCACAUUAUGUUCACUAGUUUCUUUUUUUCUUCAAACAUAAUUAAAAGACAAGAGUCCCCUGAUGGUGCAGUGAUGUUGAGACGACGACGGUGCUUAUAGACGAUGUCUUCCCCUCUUUAAAAGAAGGGAGGUGCCGAGACGGGCCCCGGAGCGAGUCACUGAGGCGUGGGCCAUGCAGCUGCAGCGAGUCGCUCACUCUCCGAGAUGAACCCACUCCUACUAACACAAGCACUUUUUUUAUCUCCUGGAGGGAUUUGGGUAAGCACAAAUUAGCCGACUUGCACGGCCAGGACAAUAAAAAUCAGCCGGAAAAAAAAUGCUUCUUUCCUCAAUCUUGCUCGCCUCAUUCUAUUGAAUAACAAUUGUUUCAUUUACAUUUCUAUUUCAUCCCUGCCAGUUCUGCACCAAUCAUCCAUACCCUCUUAAUUCUUAAUAUUGUAUAAUUCAUUUAUCGCUUUACUUUGCCAAUUCAGGUGUCCCUGUCUAAAUAAAUAACCAUUUUCUUUGCUGUCCCUUAACUCAUUACCCACCCUGUUCCAGUUAGAUCUCCCAGGGGAUUUCUCCAUCAAUAUCCCCCUGUCGUUCCAGCGGCUCUGCAGCUCUUUGUGUUGGACCUCCACUGCCCUUUACCCGCCGUACGCCCUCAAUGUGACGAACGAGGAAUCAGCACCUUCCUCCACCUCUAUCUCUCCCCGCUGCCAUGUCACACGUGACAUUCACGCUGGCUUUGAAAGUGCCGACACUUUCAAAGCCUUUUUUUUCUCUCUUCUCUUCCUAUUUCAGUUUCCGUCCUCAUUCAUUGCUCGCUUGCUUGCUCACACCAACACUCUCCGCGUCACACCUUUCUCUCUACACUGAUGUUCGUCAGACGCUUCUGUACUCCUGCCCUGCCUUUCUUUUCAACACAAGCCAUUUCUUUUCAUUUACUUUUCAAUACAUCGUCUGCUGAGUGUGCAGAAAUUAAGGCCUUCACAUUUAUUUGGACUAUCAUUGUGUGGCUGAUCAUUAGCACGUGUACACCCACUGGUGCACGCACACACCCAUACAUGCAAGGGAAACCAUGGAGAAAAGUAGAACUGUUCACACAUACACACGCUCGCACACACACACGUUGUCCUUUCCAGAAGGUUAUCAGAUGGGUGUUUAACAAGCCAGGGGUCACACUGAAAUGGCCCAAUUACAGAAGAUGUCAGAUAGCUGUGCUCUCUUAUGGAAGAAGGAAUAAAAUGUGUUUUUUCUCAUGCAAUAUGAAUCCAUGCGAUGAAACCAGCGGCAACGAAGAGAAUGCAUUCACCAGGGGAUGGUUGUGGUGUGUGUUUGAUUGCAUCAGUGAACAUGCCUCUCCAAGGGAGACUUCAUCAACGCUGGCAUACUUUACAUUCCGUCCAUCUGUUGGACGUCUAACGAAUACUCCUUAUCAGUGUUUCAAGGCUUCAUUCCUCCAGGGCAGGCCUAGGUUUUGAAUACUGAUGUUAAGAAUUAUAUAGAUAUUUUAAGCUAAUAAAUUCACUUUUUCACAAGCAAGAAUGCAAUGUCCUCAUAAUAUAAAAAAUUUGACAUAAGAUUUAUUUACAUUUUUGGAAGCCUUGACAGUCUGCAAGCUGAGGAAAGAUUGUGUGGAUGCCAGUGAUGUUGGGGAAUUCUCUGAGGCUACUAAUGGGUUGACUGAAUGUCUAUGGCAUUUGUUUUGAAAUGUGAAUAUACCGUAUUCUCCCUAAUGGGAAAUACACUGUACAUAUUCCCGAAAAUAUGCCAGAUACAUUAAGAUGCAUCAGUCCGCUUUCAAACUCUCAAUGCACCCGUGAACCCACUUGCAAACCAUCUUCCUCGUCCGUAAUUAUCUAUAUUUUGCCCAAGCAUUAAUCUGUGAAGCGUGACAGCAACAUUGUUUUUGGAAAGAAUAAGUUCAGUUGAACGAAAAAAAUACUCGUUAUGUAUCUGAGGGCGAUAAAACAAGGCAUUACAAUGUUGAACUAGUCCAUACUGUUACCAGAUUCCAGCUGCUUUCGACGUGUCUCUAGGGGUUGCCACUAUCAACAAAGCUGCAAUUUCACAAACCCCAAAUUCCCCUUUCGACAACCAUGCGACCAAGACCACAAAUCAAAAGCACACACACACACAUGCAGGAACGAGAUGAAGGCUGUUCAAAAGGACAACCCGCUUCAUUACAAACAUGGGAACAAUUCCGUUCUGUCUAAUUGUAAUCCAGGCAUUUUUUUGAAGAGCAUUAUGUAUUCCCGUGGGCGGUCUGAGACAAGAAAAGCAAUUUCCACAGCUGUCUGGAUGAUAAGAGGUACACACUCUGUAAAGCCGUGCAUUUCAUCUGUGGACUGGCUGACAACAGGGAACAUCAUUCUCACCAGGAACCCCCUUGUACACACGAGUUGACAAAGUGGUUGACUUAGUUCUGCGCCUGCCCCCCUUUUUUCUUAUUUUAAUGUCUUGCAGAAAUGUCUAUGGAGGAACAGUUUAAGGCACCAUGGAGGAGGAAAGAAAAUAAAGCAUCUGUGUCAAUUAUUAAAUAUUGCCUUUUGUCUUGGGGAUGAAUAGUCACAGGGUGGUACCAGUGGGCACGACUCGUAGGCAGUCUAUAAGAGUGUACCAUUCAUUAAGCAAAAUCACGAUUUGAUUUCAAUAAAAAAAAUAACAUUUG